ensembl:lncRNA
UAUGGAAGAGUGUAUAUAGAAGAGUGUAUAGGGAAGAGUGUGUAAGGAAAGUGUAUAGGGAAAUAUGUAUAGGGAAGAGUGUAUAGGGAAAUGUGUAUAGGGAAAUGUGUAUAGGGAAGAGUGUAUAGGGAAAUGUGUAUAUGGAAGAGUGUAUAGGGAAGAGUGUAUAGGGAAAGUUAUAUAUGGAAGAGUGUAUAUAGAAGAGUGUAUAGGGAAGAGUGUGUAAGGAAAAAGUGUAUAGGGAAAUAUGUAUAGGGAAGAGUGUAUAGGGAAAUGUGUAUAGGGAAAUGUGUAUAGGGAAAUGUGUAUAGGGAAGAGUGUAUAGGAAAUAGUGUAUAGGGAAAUGUGUAUAGGGAAGAGUGUAUAGGGAAAUGUGUAUAGGGAAAUGUGUAUAGGGAAGUGUGUAU